UACGUAGGGGGCAAGCGUUGUCCGGAAUCAUUGGGCGUAAAGCGCGUGUAGGCGGCUCGGUAAGUCCGCUGUGAAAGUCGGGGGGCUCAACCCUCGAAUGCCGGUGGAUACUGUCGGGCUAGAGUGCGGAAGAGGCGAGUGGAAUUCCUGGUGUAGCGGUGAAAUGCGCAGAUAUCAGGAGGAACACCGAUGCGAAGGCAGCUCGCUGGGACGUCACUGACGCUGAGACGCGAAAGCGUGGGGGAGCGAACAGG
rnacentral:rRNA from 1 species